AUGGAUUUGAAGAGGGUCCUGGACAUCGUGGAGGAGGAGGUGGUGGACGGCGACGAGGAGGAGCUCGCCUCCCCGGACGCCAAGCGCCGGCGAACGCUUCUCAAUAGUAGCUCGAUGCAGGAGGCCAUUGGCGCGCAGUACAUGCAGAAGCAUCUGCCCAAGCUGGAGCCGUUUCUGCGCAGAGUUGUGCAGGAAGAAGUGCACAAUGUUCUUAUCCGCCACAUCGAUUCGGCGCACAGGCUUCCACUUCAGUUAAAGACGAGCAGUAAAAGAUACAAGCUGCAGUUCCAGGGCAACCUGCCUCAGACCCUUUUCACGGGCAACAGGGUAGAGGCAGAGAACAAGCAGCCACUUCGAAUUGUUCUCACCGACGCCGUCAACAACCAGCUGAUCACCUCAGGCCCCUUGUCCUCCAUGAAGGUGGAGCUCCUCGUCCUGGACGGCGACUUCAACGCUGACGAGCGCCUUGAGCACACCGAGAAGGAGUUCAGCGAGAGCAUAGUCUUCGAGAGAGAAGGCAAGAGGCCGCUGCUGUCCGGUGAGGUGGUCAUUGUGCUCGAGAAAGGCGUGGCCUCUGUCCGCGACAUCUCCUUCACGGACAACUCCAGCUGGAUCAGGAGCAGGAAGUUCAGGCUCGGCGCGAGGAUGUCUCGCGCCAGCUCCAUCGAAGAGAGGGUGCAGGAGGCUGUCAGCAACCCCUUCCUGGUGAAGGAUCACCGUGGUGAAGUUUACAAGAAGCAUCACCCUCCUGCGUUGGCUGACGACGUAUGGCGUUUGGAGAAGAUUGGGAAAGACGGUGUUUUCCACAAGAAGCUCGCUGACUUUGGCAUCCACACCGUUCAGGACUUCCUCAGGAACUUGGUGAUGGACCAAUAUGGACUGCGCGGCUUGCUCGGCAGUGGGAUGUCGAACAAAAUGUGGGAGUCAACCGUGGAGCAUGCCCGGGAGUGCGUCCUGGACGACAAGCUCUACUCCUACUGCAGCGGGCACGGGAUCAUCCUGCUCUUCAACUGCAUCCAUGAAAUCAUCGGGGUCGUGGUCGGGAGUAACUGCUUCUCCGUGAAUGCCCUCACCGCAACGCAGAAGGCGCUGGUGGUGAAGCUGCAGCAGGACGCGUACAAGUUCCCGAGCCGCAUCGUGGAAUUCAAGGUGCAGUCGCAGAGCGCCGACCAGUCGCCGACAGCGCCGGUGCCGCCGGGUCCAGCGAGCACGCAGAUGCCGGGCCUUCCUCCUCAAGGUGGCGAGGCGAACCCACAGCCACAGGACCAUGGCCUGCUGCCCCUCCACGAUGCCGCCCUGGGCCUGGAGGAUGUUCUGCACCAGCACCACCGCCGCCACCAUAGCGAGCCCUGGAUCACCGAUGGCUUCGACGCGACGAGGGACCCUUUCGACAUGCUGCAGUUCAGUGGCUCGUCUCAGCCGUGCGGGCUGCUGCUCUCCAGCACCGGGGCGAGGUUGUGA
rnacentral:rRNA from 1 species